rnacentral:rRNA from 1 species
CACGGAGUCAGCCGGUGCUUCUUCUGCGGGUAGCGUCAAUGAGCAAAGGUAUUAACUUUACUCCCUUCCUCCCCGCUGAAAGUACUUUACAACCUGAAGGCCUUCUUCAUACACGCGGCAUGGCUGCAUCAGGCUUGCGCCCAUUGUGCAAGAUUCCCUA